CAAAAAGCCCUUUUCAGGGCUACUCCACCUACAAACUUAAACAGCUU
rfam:Phlebotomus papatasi Contig18102.1, whole genome shotgun sequence.